GGCGGGAUUGUUUAUAUGUAAACAAGGUCACAGUAGUAACAUAUCAAUACACACAAACAUCACACACCGACGGCUCAAGAACAUGUAUAUUGUUUGGUUCACGUAUAAUAGGAAGCUUCCAACACCUGCCAACGCAAGAUCCUGCCGAAUCCUGCUGCGUAGAAAUGGUCUAUCUCGUGCUUAGCCGCCAUUACGGAUCGGCGGGCAGUUUCGCUGAUUCGCAGCUGCCACAAAUGAUUAACAAAAAAACAAGUUAAUUAGGUAGAAAGGGAGGAAUGCAUGAUUUAAUUUACUGGGAGGGUUCACAUGCAUGCAUGGAAACAUGAGCUGUGGCAGCUAGCUUACGGUUGCUGCAGAUGGACGGGCCACGUUGUCCAAGGAUGCCACCAACGAACACAAGCAGAACGAGGAGGAUCAGCAUCAGCUGAACCGAGGUCGCAGAGGAGUUCUUCUUUGCCAUCCUCGAUCGUUCGGCUCUUUGCUUCGUUCCUGUGUUUCUACUUGGAUGUGCAAUGGGUGCUCAACGGAAGCACUUAUAUAUAGAAGUUGUGAGUAUAGUUAAUUUUCAUGUGGAAGUAGUUCAGGUGCAAAUGUGGAAGCAGAGGAGAUGGUGUGGUGCUUUUGGGGAUUGGUGGAAGGAGGUAUGCAUGCAUUGCAUGACUGCCGGACGAAGAAAGGUAAGGAGUAUUGUAUCACACAAGUUAAUCAAGGAUAAUAUGAUACUCCUAUGCGAGUGAGAAGUAAGAACGCACGUUGCUAUACAUUGACUGAUGACCCCUUGCUGGAGUCUUUUUUCAGUUCUUUGUUUCUAAAUACCCUCUAUGCCCAUGGUGGAACAUCUAGUCACUGAUGAGAAGGCGAAGUAUGCGGACCCACACCUGGGCGCAUAUGGUCAGGUCAGAUAAAAUAGUACUUCCUUUAUUUUAAAAUAGAUGACUCAACUUUGUACUAUCUUUAAUAGGGAGUAUCUUCGAUUCAGAUGAUGAUUAGGAUCCCAACGUAUUCAUGGUUGGUGGAAAUAAUGAAGACAAGCCUCAUGUAUGCAUGCAAGAACUCGUGCAGAUUAAUUCAAAGGAUGGAAGUUGGUGGUAGCUGGUUACGGAGGCCCUAAGCACACCUGGUGCAACAGUUAAGUGGUGCAACAGUUAAGUAUUUCUAAUCAGUACAAUAAGCACAAAUAGUGGAAAUACGGUAUUUCUAAAUAGAUGUAUGUUGCCUUUACUUCCACAUGCAUGCAUGCAUUUGUUGGCAUUCAUCUGUCAAGGUCGGUCUAUAUAUAUAUAAUAUUCUUGGUCAAGUGGCCGCCUUGGCUGUACAUGUUGGAAUCAAGAGAAGAUUAGUGAUUAAUACGCUUACCUGAGCUUGUGUUGCCAUCACGAAAAGGGAAAAAUUUGCGAAAGUAGGUAUCGCACGUCCCUAUCCGCUCAUUGCAGUUUCAAGAUUCAUGCACCAAUGUGCAGUAUAAAACGCCAGUCAUUUUGCUUCGGUAAUAUACAGCAAUACAAUCUGUAAACGCGGUAAACAGGUCCCAUCAAUGUUAGCUUUUAGUCAGAUAAUAAAUUAGUCUUGCAUACAUGUGAUGUCCAUUCUCUCUCUCCCAAGCUAAUUAAUCAAUUUACUUGACCUUCGCUAACUUCAAAUAAUUCAUAUCUCUUAAAACAAAAUUCUAAUUUUAAUAUUAUUUUUACAUAUUUGACUCAUGGCGAAGAGACCUUUAAAAAAAGACCGACCUCGAAUAUAUUUCGAACGAGUUUAAAAAAUCGAUUUCAUAAUAACAUAUUUCACUCAUUUACUAAUAACAUAUUUCUCUCAUUUAGAAAAAUAUAUAUUAUAAUAACAUAUUUACUCAUUUCAGAAUAACAUAUUCCCUCAUUUCAUAAUAACAUAUUUCGUCCAUUUUAAAACCAAUCUGACACAUUCCAAAACAUGUUUCACUCAUUUCAUAUAACAUAUUUCACUCAUUAAAAAAAACUUUACUCAUUUCAUCUAACAUAUUUCACUCAUUUCAAACAAGAUUUCAUAAUAACAUAUUUCAGUCAUUUCAAAAAAGAUUUCAUAGUAACAUGUUUCACUCAUUUCAUACUAACAUAUUUCACUCGUUUCAAAAAGUAUUUCAUAAUAACAUAUUUCACUCAUUCCACAUAAUCAGUUUCACAAGUUGACAUUUCAGUUUAUAUUGUUUUCCUUUGCAGAACUUACAUUUCAUUUUUUGCUGGCUUGUUUUACAAAAAAUGCAUCUAUUUCGCUGGCUUUUUUUUACAUUUUUCUAGUAAAAAUUGUUUUGUCAUGGAAUAUGAAAUGUCAAAAAUUAAACUUGUCUCAAAUGUAUCCAGAUUUGAUCUUGUUCCAAAGGUCUUGACACCAGGAGUUCAAAUAUAUUUGAAAAUCAGAAACAUAAUUUUUGUUUAAGAUAUAUGAAUCAUUCAAAUUAUGAAAGAAAAUUAAACUGAUGGAUUUAAGAGAGGGCGAGAGCAUGUGCUUGAAUCAAAAAAGAGAGAAAGAUGUCUAUCAUGCAUGCAUCCUUUUUUCUGACUAUGAUAGGACACACACAGUGACUUGACUCUGAAAUACAUAAAAGGCGAAAUAUGUGAUAUAUCUAGGUUGGCCAUAGCUCGCACGCAUGUCAGAAAAUGUGAGCGGUGUGAGAUCUACGGUUAGGUAGCAUCACCACUCAAAAUGACUUUGCGAAGAAAUUGCAUCAAUGUUGUUGUACAUCGAUUGACGACUCCUCGCACAAGUAUCAUGUGGAGUACAUGCAUUGGUGAACAAAUUAACUUGUCUAGUGGAUUUUCUAAAAAACCUAGUCAUGUUCAUCGAUUGACGACUCCUUGCACAACUUUGCUUGUCGUGUGGAGUACAUGCAUUGGUGAGACGUAGGGGGUGACGCAAGGAAUUAAAAACCCUAGUCAUGUUCUCCAGAGAGUGUGUUCUUGCGUAUAAGUGUUUGAGUACAAAGGUUUCGAACCUGUAACUAGAUGCUGCGGGGAUGCUUAUAUAAAGUUUGCUUCCCUCCUCGCAUGGUAUGUUGCAAAGUGAGUUAAGAUAGGUAAUAACACAUGCCUACUUUUAACAGCAACGGACGUCUUGAUGUACAAAAGUAAAGCCCUUAUGACUUAAUCAAUGCUCCUUGCAAUUGGGCUACUUCUGUCCGAGUGAAGAUCAUCCAAGUGGAAUCAUGCUCCUGUCAUCCGAGUGAAUCUUCAUUCGGGUGCCUUACCCGAGUGAGUAAACCCCCAUGAUGUUGUUGGUAUUCCGAUACCUGGAGUAUGUGGGCAUGAGCCCCCAUGGUCUUUUGCUAGGUUUAGACCACUAUAGGCCUACCCCGUAGGAGAUGACCACAUCAACAUCCACAAGUGACGGACAAGUCCCGGACUCCGACAAGGAGUAGGGCAUGCGAGAGAGCGAGGCCUCAAGUCCCAUGCUCUCAAGGAACAUGCAAACAAGAAAGCAUGAACAAAAAACCUGGGUACUGAAAUAUAGGACUUUAAUCUGAGCUUUCCAAAUUUUGGAAUGCACAACUCUAAGAUAAUAUGCGUGUGCGUGACAACGAAACUUUUCCAGGUGCUGGUAGCACAAAUAAGUAUUCGUUUUCCAAACUGUAUUCGGUUACUUAAAUGGAGCCACGUGCCAACAUUAAUCUGAAAUUUUUCAUUCAGUAUGGUACUACACUGUUAGGAAAGUCAGGGUACUAUUCUCAAGCAUCUAAAUUAUACUUGAAGGUGCCAAUUUCCGAAUUGGGGGCAGCCUUGGGAUUGCUGGAUGACUUGAGCUGCCAUCAUGGAAGUCAAGAGAAGUCUUCCAAAUCAGAACGCACAGGGCUCCUUGCAAUCUCCCCAUGCAUUGACUGACUUUCGCAUGCAGAUGUUCGCAUUAUAUUCAUUCAUCAGAGAGGGGCCAAUAUCAAGUUGGAUUCUACAUACCUCCUCCCUCUGUUUCUUUUUUGCUUCGCAAAUUAUCUUACCUCAAAUGGUUUGAGUGAACUCAGUCAAGUAGA
rnacentral:lncRNA from 1 species